AGGGCACAUUAUGGUGGAUGAAGAGAUUCUCUCUCCAUUCAAUUCUCCCUAUGGGUGAGAUAGGAAAAACAAAUGGUAAUGCCACAGUAAUUCCUAAAUCCUACGAGGAAUAUGGCCUACAAAGGAGAUUAAUGGCUCACAACUCUGCUUCUGUUCCUAUUUAUUUCGCAUUUGCUCGGAAACAAAUGCUGCGAAGAGCGAAGAACACAGAGCAGACUGAUGCAUACUAAAGAAAGGGAGAAAGAUCGAAAGUCAUGGGGGCGGAUUCGCGGUCUCAGGGAAGACGAUUCGAGCUCCAAAGACAAUUCAAGCUUCUUAACAAACAACCGAACUAGAGCACCACUCAGCUCCAUUAUCAUUCAAAUUUUGUGGACAUGUCCACAUCAAUGCCUUUCAUUUUGUGGAGAUGUGGAGGCUUGUAAAUUGGUUGACAUUUCAACUUGACACUACAGUUCGACUGUUGAAAAUAUGAGGAUAGAAGUCCUAACCUGGUGGAAUAUAUGGUAAGUAGGACCCAAAAUUUGACACACGGCCAUUCCAAAGAGGGUGCUGCUGAUCCAACUUUCUGUUUGGCCAAAAAAUCCCUCCCCACAUGGAUUAAAAAGGAUCUUUUAACAGGGCCUUGAAUUUUCCUCAAGGCACCUGCUUUUGAGAGAGAAUUGAAAUCUUUAGAUAAUGUGAUGUCUCUAUUUAUCGUCAGAAGUGUUUGUUUAAAACAGAUCCAAAGGAUGUAAUAAAUUGCAUUGUGCAUGACUUGAAUUUGAGAGUUCAUUAUAAUUUUAGGUAAGUUGAUGUACAUAUUUACCACCAAAAGUGUUUGUUUACUCCAGAUCCAAAUGAUGUAAUAAAUUGCAUUGUGCAUGACUGGAGUUUUGAGAGUUCACUGAAAUCUUUUGAUGAGUUGAUGUCUAUAUUUACCAUCAAAACUGUUUGUUUACUGCAGAUCCGAAGGAUGCAACAAUUGCGUUGUGCAUGAUGGAAUUUUCAUCAGUUUCCUUUAUUUUCUUCAAAAAUGAGUUGUUUGAUUCGACAUCUUUAGGCUGCAACAUCUAAUAAGUAUUCAUGAAAUUUCUCUGGAAUUCUGUCACAUUUAUUACUUAAAAAAAAAAAAAAAAUACUUCAAUGAGAAAGACUACUGAUCCAAGGGAAUAUCACCUUUGUCCAAUACCCGCUCAAUGGCUUUUAAUACUUCCUGAAUUUAGAACCAGUUACCACGAUUUGGCAUGUUCUCCAAUCGUCAUUAUUAGUGGAGGGAAUAUAGGAAGUCUUUGUUAUUGUGACCAAAGUGGACUCUGCACAUCUUUUUUUGCCACAAGCAUCUGUUCUCUGGGCAUAGGAGCUUCACUUAUUUGGCACUAUGGAAGAGAUCUUAAAAUGAUGUUUUAGUGAGAGAACAGAUGCUGGAACUUAGUAAUUUAAUAGACUUUUGCUUAAACACCCACUCUUGGCAGAACUCCUGCUUCCACACCUCCCUAUGUCUUGGACUGGGUUAAAAUAGUUGGUGACUGAAAUGGGCCAAAACCUGACCUAGUUAUAGGUGAUCCUAGCCCAGCUUAAAUAGCCAUAUAGUGUUACAAAUUUGAAAAUAUUUUUUGUCCACUUACUGAUAUUAGUGCAGAAGGUAAGGCUGUCUAAAUAUGCUUUAAAUGUGUUCUCUAGCAUCUUAGCAUAUGUUCAUUUUUCACUUUAUAUCUAUCAUUCUUUCUUUAAUUAUUUACUUAUGGUGAUACGAUAGAACUGCAGGGAAUUGUCGAUCGACUGUAAACAAUGAUCACGAAUUUAAGCUGAUUUUGCAUCUAAUUUGGAUUUUGGUGGAGCGGUUUACAGGGCCUUCAAACUGAAGCUGCACCAGAAAUAGGCAGUGGAUGUUUCAUCCCUGGGAACUAUUACAAGACAGGCUUUAUCUGUAAUAUUCAAAAUUGUGGAUGAAUCCAAUAGAACUCAUGGAUCCAAUGCAGGUGGCAAUGGAUAUACAGUUGCAGACAGUCCUAAUUGCUGCACUGAGGAGUAUGAUGAGUACCAGGUGAUGUCUUGAGAUUCAUGAUGUUUGGUAACUGGGGGGUCCCAAUCGCUAAAUUUGAUGCUAAUUCAUGAUCAUAAAAGCAUUGAAAGAAGUAUUAUUUCAUUCUCUUUGUGUGUUUUCACUUUAUAGAAGUUAUUCCUCUUGUAUUGCAUUUUUAUGUAUAUGAUACUUUGUCUCAUCCAAUGUUCCAGUGGCAUCUCCUCCUUUUCCUC